AAAAACGAUCUGAAAGUGAAAAAAAGAUUUGAAAGUGAAAAAAUAAGAUUUGAAACUGUAAAAAAAAAAAAGAUCUGAAAGUGAAAAAAAGAUUUGAAAGUGAAAAAAUAAGAUUUGAAACUGUAAAAAAUAAGAUCUGAAUCUGAAAAGAUAAAACAUGCAACUGAAAAAAAUAAGACCUCAAAUGUUAAAAUAUAUAUGGAAGUGAAAAGUGAAAAUAAAUUAUUCAUUCAAAAGAAUUACCAAAGUGAAUCAAAAUUAUAUAUAAUCUGAAAAAACGUUUCAUACACUUAUUUUUAUUCUGAAUACAUUGUAGUAUUUUUCAAAAUUCAAGAUCAACACAUGAAUUUUCAGUUUCAAAUUUUAUUUUUUCAAGUACAAAACUUUUGACCCUAAUGUAGCUCCAUAAACAUGCGGUGAGGACGCAGAGGAACUGAAACGCAGAAGGACAUCCCUACUGCAUCACAUUUGUGGAGAGCACAGAUGGGAAGAAGAUGGAGAAGGGUGCACAUGCUACCACCCCCCUCUCAGCCCAGAAGACCAAAGGAAGAAACAGUGGCUCCGCCCAGAUUCCACAUCAUUCAAGGCUCUGCAGUCUGUCAUCACUGACACAAGACUUCUGAAUGACCCUGAACACAUGACACACUUCAAGCACACAGAGUUGACGAUGAUGAGGAGGAGGAAGUGGGGGGGUCUCCUUGCCCUGCACCCCAGAGGGAGGCAGAGGGGGAGGAAGGAGUCGGUCUCCAGCAAACAGAGGCUCCAGGUCAGAGACACUCCCUGGUGAUGCAGCUGGCUGGAGAACCGAAAAGGAGCCUGACAUCUUGCCACAUCCCCCACCACAUUUUCUGCCCAAAAGGAGGCUAGGUGUGCAGCCACCUCUAUCACAGUAUGUGGACAAUCCCCUCUCCAUCUGAGCUGUUCAGGAUGUACUUUCACCGGGCUGCCAUCAAAACGCUGUGUGCCAACACCAAUAGAAAUGCAGCAAAAAUAUUGCUCAUCGUGGACAGGAACUGUCACAGGACCUAUCUCAGCUCCCCUGGUGCUACUGAAAAGUAAUAUUUGACUUUGA